GGACAUGUGCCCGAAAGAUAAGGACUACCUUGAUAGGGUAAUUUAUAGAGGUUCAAACCCUCUCAUUUCCU
rnacentral:tRNA from 1 species